rnacentral:lncRNA from 1 species
GCCCUUUGAGUGGAGAUGCGUGAUAUAUGUCCUAGGGUUCUGUUUCCUUGUUCCUUAGGUUGGUUGUCCUUUGUUGCAGAUAUCCUGUUCUUUUUUCUUUGUUUCCUCAGCCUGGAUAGGGAGCUUCAUUCCUGCUGUAGUUGUAAUUCGGCUAUUGAUAUACACUGUUUGUAAAUUGCUUCAGGCAAAACUGGCUCAGCGGGCUCCGGGUGGUGAUGGCGGGGGUGUUCUUUCUUGCUCUACAUGUUGAUAGGUUUUUGCUCCGUUUUUAGUGAUGAAAAAGUGAGUUCAUUUUUAAAUCUUGUGUGAGAGAAGGCCAAGAACAUGUACUUUUUUUACGGGAACAAGAACAUGUACUUAAAUUAUGAAUAUGCAUAGUUAUGUGAUAUUGGAAUUCAUGCUGAAUUCAUAGAAAUAGUAUGUGAUUUUUGAUAUUUUCUAUCUCCUGUUUGCAUGAAAUUCUCCAAGUGACCAUGGAUUCGGUCAGGCCUAAUUUGGACCAGCUUGGAUUUGAAUUUUGCGCUGAUCAAGUGUUGCUGAUGUUUUAUAUCCUUUAUU